CCUACGGGAGGCAGCAGUGGGGGAUAUUGCACAAUGGGGGAAACCCUGAUGCAGCGAUGCCGCGUGAAUGAAGACGGCCCUCGGGUUGUAAAGUUCUGUCGCAGGGGACGAAAAUGACGGUACCCGGCAAGAAAGCUCCGGCUAACUAGGUGCCAGCAGCCGCGGUAAUACGUAGGGAGCAAGUGUUGUCCGGAAUUACUGGGUGUAAGGGGAGCGUAGGCGGGAGGAUAAGUUGAAUGUGAAAUCCAUGGGCCCAACCCAUAGCUGCGUCCAGAACUGUUCUUCUUGAGUGAAGUAGAGGCAGGCGGAAUUCCUAGUGUAGCGGUGAAAUGCGUAGAUAUUAGGAGGAACACCAGUGGCGAAGGCGGCCUGCUGGGCUUUUACUGACGCUGAGGCUCGAAAGCGUGGGUAGCGAACAGGAUUAGAUACCCUUGUAGUC
rnacentral:rRNA from 1 species